ACAUAGAUGGCUGUGUUUUCACAGACCUUCCUUCCCUUGAUUAAUUUUUGGGAUAGACUCUUUCAGAGCAGGUUAUUUAAGGAUUUAGAGCUUGUUCCAAGGCCCAUUGAAGCCAAUGGAAAUCUCUCUAUUGUCACUGAUAGGCUCGGGACCAGGCCACUAGCCCUGAGUGCUUAGGAUAGAGACAUUUAAGGUGCAAGUGAUGAAAGACCUGAUGUUGAGCAGAAAUCCAUUAACACCUCCAAGAAACAAGGCCGAGGGCCUUUAAGUACCAAAUCAGGGACAGAUUUUGAAAGGCCACUAAACAUGAGGAUGAUAUCUGUGGGAGUUGGCAUGGAAGGGACAGUAAUAACUUUUGAAGAGCUACUUCCCCCACAGCAUCCUACCAGCCAGUCCCAGCCCAACCAGUGCCUGUGUCUGGGAGACAAUUUAGUUACUUCCACACUUUCCUGGAAAGAUUUUGCCUGGCACACUCCUGUCUCAGCAG